rnacentral:lncRNA from 1 species
GCAUAAUCUCAUCUUUCUGCUGCUGAAACUGACACUGAGGAAAAUGGACUCAUAAAGGAGCAGCAGAAAGUAAAGGCUGUGACACUGAAUUGGGAGUCUUGAAAAUGAGUUCUGUUUUCGGCUCUGCAGGAACUGGACUGUAACACAUUGUAUGACCCCACAUGGAGGAAGAAAAAGGAG